rnacentral:rRNA from 1 species
UACGUAGGGGGCAAGCGUUGUCCGGAUUUAUUGGGCGUAAAGAGCGUGUAGGCGGCCAGAUAGGUCUGCUGUGAAAACUCGAGGCUUAACCUCGAGAUGUCGGCGGAAACCGUCUGGCUAGAGUCCGGAAGAGGAGAGUGGAAUUCCUGGUGUAGCGGUGAAAUGCGCAGAUAUCAGGAAGAACACCUAUGGCGAAGGCAGCUCUCUGGGACGGUACUGACGCUGAGACGCGAAAGCGUGGGGAGCGAACAGG